GAUGAACGCUGGCGGCGUGCCUAAUACAUGCAAGUCGAGCGAACAGACGAGGAGCUUGCUCCUCUGACGUUAGCGGCGGACGGGUGAGUAACACGUGGAUAACCUACCUAUAAGACUGGGAUAACUUCGGGAAACCGGAGCUAAUACCGGAUAAUAUAUUGAACCGCAUGGUUCAAUAGUGAAAGACGGUUUUGCUGUCACUUAUAGAUGGAUCCGCGCCGCAUUAGCUAGUUGGUAAGGUAACGGCUUACCAAGGCAACGAUGCGUAGCCGACCUGAGAGGGUGAUCGGCCACACGGGAACUGAGACACGGUCCAGACUCCUACGGGAGGCACCAGUAGGGAAUCUUCCGCAAUGGGGGAAGGCCUGACGGAGCAACGCCGCGGGAGUGAUGAAGGUCUUCGGAUCGUAAAACUCUGUUAUUAGGGAAGAACAAAUGUGUAAGUAACUAUGCACGUCUUGACGGUACCUAAUCAGAAAGCCACGGCUAACUACGUG
rnacentral:rRNA from 1 species